rnacentral:misc_RNA from 1 species
AAACUGCGAUAACUAGUGUGAAUUGCAGACCUGCUUGUGACUCAUCGAAAUUUUGAACGCACUGCGCCUGGGGGCAACCGUCAGGCACACCAGGUUGAGUGACACCAAUUAUCCAUUGCUUCACCAAACUUCUGGUGAAGCAGAUUUGGGGGUGUAGUUGCUUCAUCUGAAACUACUUCCCUUCAAUGUAGUAUUGCAGUUGGAGUGUGGGUUUGAGAGUGAAAGUCCAGUCUAGAGGGUUCAUCCCAGCUAAUCUGGUCAAGUAACUGUCAUUGUAACACCUCCACAGCAAACCGAAACGAGACCAGUCCUGCCACUGGCCAAUUCAACAAAAAAAGUGUGUCCUCAGCUCUGGUGGGACUACCCGCUGAACUUAA